CUCCUACGGGAGGCAGCAGUAGGGAAUCUUCCGCAAUGGGCGCAAGCCUGACGGAGCAACGCCGCGUGAGUGAGGGAGGCCUUCGGGUUGUAAAACUCAGUCACCUGGGAAGAGAGGUAUGGGGAGUGGAAUGCCCCAUACGAGACGGUACCAGGGGAGGAAGCCCCGGCUAACUACGUGCCAGCAGCCGCGGUAAUACGUAGGGGGCAAGCGUUGUCCGGAAUCACUGGGCGUAAAGCGUGCGUAGGCGGUCUUUCAAGUCCGGGGUGAAAACUCAAGGCUCAACCUUGAGAAUGCCUUGGAAACUGGGGGACUUGAGUACUGGAGAGGCAAGGGGAAUUCCACGUGUAGCGGUGAAAUGCGUAGAGAUGUGGAGGAAUACCAGUGGCGAAGGCGCCUUGCUGGACAGUGACUGACGCUGAGGCACGAAAGCGUGGGGAGCAAACAGGAUUAGAUACCCUGGUAGUCCACGCCGUAAACGAUGAGUGCUAGGUGUUGGGGGUUCAUCCCCUCAGUGCCGAAGGAAACCCAAUAAGCACUCCGCCUGGGGAGUACGGUCGCAAGACUGAAACUCAAAGGAAUUGACGGGGGCCCGCACAAGCAGUGGAGCAUGUGGUUUAAUUCGAAGCAACGCGAAGAACCUUACCAGGGCUUGACAUCCCUCUGACCGGUUCAGAGAUGGACCUUCCCUUCGGGGCAGAGGAGACAGGUGGUGCAUGGUUGUCGUCAGCUCGUGUCGUGAGAUGUUGGGUUAAGUCCCGCAACGAGCGCAACCCUUGACCUGUGUUACCAGCACGUAAUGGUGGGGACUCACAGGUGACUGCCGGCGUAAGCCGGAGGAAGGUGGGGAUGACGUCAAAUCAUCAUGCCCUUUAUGUCCUGGGCUACACACGUGCUACAAUGGGCGGUACAACGGGAAGCGAGACCGCGAGGUGGAGCGAAACCCAAAAAGCCGUUCGUAGUUCGGAUUGCAGGCUGCAACCCGCCUGCAUGAAGCCGGAAUUGCUAGUAAUCGCGGAUCAGCAUGCCGCGGUGAAUCCGUUCCCGGGCCUUGCACACACCGCCCGU
rnacentral:rRNA from 1 species